ACUACGGGUGGCAGCAGUGGGGGAUAUUGCACAAUGGGGGGAACCCUGAUGCAGCGACGCCGCGUGGGCGAAGAAGCGCUUCGGCGCGUAAAGCUCUGUCAGCAGGGAAGAAAAUGACGGUACCUGACGAAGAAGCCCCGGCUAACUACGUGCCAGCAGCCGCGGUAAUACGUAGGGGGCAAGCGUUAUCCGGAUUUACUGGGUGUAAAGGGGGCGCAGACGGCGGUGCAAGCCAGGAGUGAAAGCCCGGGGCCCAACCCCGGGACUGCUCUUGGAACUGUGUGGCUGGAGUGCAGGAGGGGCAGGCGGAAUUCCUGGUGUAGCGGUGAAAUGCGUAGAUAUCAGGAGGAACACCAGUGGCGAAGGCGGCCUGCUGGACGACGACUGACGUUGAGGCCCGAAAGCGUGGGGAGCAAACAGGAUUAGAUACCCUAGUAGUC
rnacentral:rRNA from 1 species